rnacentral:rRNA from 1 species
UACGAAGGGGGCUAGCGUUGUUCGGAGUUACUGGGCGUAAAGGGCGCGUAGGCGGCGCACCAAGUCAGGCGUGAAAGCCUGGGCUCAACCCGGGAAUUGCGCUUGAGACUGGUGUGCUUGAGUACGGGAGAGGAUAGUGGAAUUCCCAGUGUAGAGGUGAAAUUCGUAGAUAUUGGGAAGAACACCGGUGGCGAAGGCGGCUAUCUGGGACCGUAACUGACGCUGAGGCGCGAAAGCGUGGGGAGCAAACAGG